AUUGUGUGAAUACAUAGCACAUUCGAGGUAGACGCAGAGAACUGAAACAUCUAAGUACCUGCAGGAAGAGAAAGAAAAUUCGAUUCCCUGAGUAGCGGCGAGCGAAACGGGAAAAGCCCAAACCAGCAAGCUUGCUUGUUGGGGUUGUAGGACUCCAAUAUGGUAGUUCUUUCAGAUAGUCGAAUGACUUGGAAAAGUCAGUCAAAGAGGGUAAAAACCCCGUAGACGAAAUGUGGAAGACACCUAGGAGGAUCCUGAGUACGGCGGAACACGAGAAAUUCCGUCGGAAUCCGGGAGGACCAUCUCCCAAGGCUAAAUACUCCCUAGUGACCGAUAGUGAACCAGUACCGUGAGGGAAAGGUGAAAAGCACCCCGGAAGGGGAGUGAAAUAGAACCUGAAACCGUGUGCCUACAACAAGUCAAAGCCCGUUAAUGGGUGAUGGCGUGCCUUUUGUAGAAUGAACCGGCGAGUUACGAUUGCAUGCGAGGUUAAGUUGAAGAGACGGAGCCGCAGCGAAAGCGAGUCUGAAUAGGGCGUUUGAGUAUGUAGUCGUAGACCCGAAACCAUGUGAUCUACCCAUGUCCAGGUUGAAGGUGCGGUAAAACGCACUGGAGGACCGAACCCACGUACGUUGAAAAGUGCGGGGAUGAGGUGUGGGUAGCGGAGAAAUUCCAAACGAACUUGGAGAUAGCUGGUUCUCUCCGAAAUAGCUUUAGGGCUAGCCUCGGAAUUGAGAAUGAUGGAGGUAGAGCACUGUUUGGACUAGGGGCCCAUCUCGGGUUACCGAAUUCAGAUAAACUCCGAAUGCCAUUCAUUCAUAUCCGGGAGUCAGACUGUGAGUGAUAAGAUCCAUAGUCGAAAGGGAAACAGCCCAGACCACCAGCUAAGGUCCCAAAAUAUAUGUUAAGUGGAAAAGGAUGUGGGGUUGCACAGACAACUAGGAUGUUGGCUUAGAAGCAGCCACCAUUUAAAGAGUGCGUAA
rnacentral:rRNA from 1 species